AACGAACGCUGGCGGCGCGUCUUACGCAUGCAAGUCGAACGGCAAGAGAGGAGCUUGCUUCUCUCCUAGAGUGGCGGACUGGUGAGGAACACGUGGGUAAUCUACCCUUAAGAUGGGGAUAGCUGCUAGAAAUAGCAGGUAAUACCGACUACACUCGCCAUAUCACAAGAGGUGUUGAGGAAAGGAAUCUAAGGCUUCGCUUGAGGAUUAGCUUGCGUCCCAUUAGCUAGUUGGUGAGGUAAAGGCCCACCAAGGCGACGAUGGGUAUCCGGCCUGAGAGGGUGAACGGACACAUUGGGACUGAGAUACGGCCCAAACUCCUACGGGAGGCAGCAGCUAAGAAUAUUCCGCAAUGGACGGAAGUCUGACGGAGAGAGGCCGGGUGGAUGAAGAAGGCUGAAAAGUUGUAAAAUCCUUUUGUUGAUGAAGAAUAAGGGUGAGAGGGAAUGCUCACCUGAUGACGGUAAUCUACGAAUAAGCCACGGCUAAUUACGUG
rnacentral:rRNA from 1 species